rnacentral:rRNA from 1 species
UACGGGGGGGCAAGCGUUGCUCGGAAUUACUGGGCGUAAAGGGCUCGUAGGCGGCCAACUAAGUCAGACGUGAAAUCCCUCGGCUUAACCGGGGAACUGCGUCUGAUACUGGAUGGCUUGAAUCCGGGAGAGGGAUGCGGAAUUCCAGGUGUAGCGGUGAAAUGCGUAGAUAUCUGGAGGAACACCGGUGGCGAAGGCGGCAUCCUGGACCAACACUGACGCUGAGGAGCGAAAGCCAGGG